rnacentral:misc_RNA from 1 species
UGCCAUUGAAGUUCCAGACAGUAUGUUGAAGGUUGAUUUUGUGUCUGUAGUAUUGUCAAGGGGGAAAGGCCAUGCAGCUAGAAUGCUUACACCAGGCCCAAUAAUAUCAGGUUUCAGAAUGCCUGGACUUGCCAAACUGGGGCCUCUCGAUGAGAAUGAAGUAACAGCUGGAGACAAUGGGUCUCCAAUGACAGUUCCUUUGAAUAAGAUUGUUGCUGUUGGUGUCUUUGUUGAAUUUAUAUAUGCUUUGAUCUUCAGCCCUGCUGCAAAGCUGACAUGUGUUGCAGGAAGGACAUGAGGAUCAGAUAUGGUGCUGAAGCCGCUAGUCUCAUCAUUCAUGAGUAUCAUAGCAGCACCCCCAGCAUUUUUCACUUCCUCUCCUUUGGCAAUUCUGCCUAUUCCUCCUCUUUCACACAAGACUACUUUGCCUUUCACAUUCAUACCUUCCAGUGCUCCCUCACCACACAAUGCUGACUCUGGUUUACCAUUCAUACCAGCAUAAACAAGAGGUAAUAGUGUUUUGGGGAAGUUGCUAGGUUGGAAAACAGAUUCACCAUCUAAUUCUUCGCCUUUUCCAAGCUUUGCUGUGGCAGCAAUUCUCCUAUCUAUGGUGCUUGCUCCAACUGUGAGAAUCCAAGGAGCUUCAUUGGAUAAUGUGCCAUUGAAAGGACCAGAAUUUCCACCUGCACAGCUUACAAAUAUUCCUUUCUGAAUUGCUGCAAAAGAGCCUAUUGCUAUGUUGUCUUGAAAAAAGGGCAUUGAUACAUCAACAAGGGAGAGUGAGAGCACAUCAACACCAUCCUGUACUGCUGUAUCGAGCCCAGCUAAUAUAUCACUUUCGGUACAAUCAGCAGUAGGGCCUCCAAAACAAACUUUGUAAAUAGCCAGAUGAGCAUAAGGUGCCAUUCCAACUGCUGUGCCUUUGGCAUUUCCUAGUGUGUCAGCAUUGUAUACAAAGCUACCAGCAGCUGUGCUUGCAGUGUGAGUCCCAUGGCCAUCUACAUCAAUUGGUGGUUCGUCUGCUACUCCCUUCAUGGCCUUAGCUGCGAGAUUGAAAGACCUUGCACCAAUUAUUUUGUUGUUACACUCUGAUGCAUUAAAGUCACAUCUCCCUUUCCAUCUGGCUGGUGGUGGUGGCAUUCCUUUAUCACCGAAUGAAGGAUGGCUGGGGAAAAUGCCUCCAUCUAGUACUCCAAUGAUCACUCCCUUGCCAAAAUUUGAUUCUUUCCAGAAUCCCAUUUGCUGAUGCAAACCCAAGAAGCUGGGGGAGUGUGUUGUCUGUAAACGUAUUUUCCUUUCAGGACGGGCUGACACAAAGCCAUCAAUCUCUUCCAUGGCCUUGACUUCCUCCUUUGUCAGUCUUGCAGCAAAACCACUUAUUAUAUUCUGGUAUGAGUAAAGGAUACGUUGCUGCUGCUUCUCAGAGCUUGCCAUGCUAAAUGGUAAAAAUGACUUGUGCCACUUCUCCAGAUUAUGUGUCUGGGAAAAGGUUCCUGCUGGUUUGCUGACAUGGACAAUGUAGGUUUGUAAGUUGUGCUUUUCAGUUAUUUCAGCAGUGUACUGAGCUGCUUGAGCAAUCUCAAGAUAGAAGUUGAACAAGAAAAUGAGAAAGAGAAAAGGAGUGGCAGCCAUUUGUAAUGAAAAAUUUCUCUUCAUGAAGUAGAAGAGUAAAAAUGCUCAGUUGUUUUUGUUAUCAAAA